CGGGAUGUGGCGCAGAUGGAAGCGCGCCGGUUUUGGGAACCGGAGGCCGGGAGUUCGAGUCUCCCCAUCCCGA
rnacentral:tRNA from 1 species